rnacentral:piRNA from 1 species
UAAUCAUUGGCUCUACUUUGCUUUUGGGU